GUGUGUGUGUGUGUGUGUGUGUGUGUGUGUGUGUGUGUGUGUUUGUUUGUGUGUGUGUGUGUGUCUGUGUGUCUGUGUGUGUGUAUGUGUGUGUGUGUGUAUCCCUGACCCCUCACGUCAUCUUGAUGCUAACUUGUUUCUCCACACUCGUCUUUUCUGCAAACUCUCAUUCUAUACUUUAAAUGAUUGUUUUCAAUUGAGCCAUCAACACACACAAGAACACCAGGGGGGGAGGCGGGGCUAACCAAGGAGAGGCGUGGCCUAUUGUUGGGAGGCGUGGCCUACUGUGACUCACCCAUGCGCACGGCGACCAGUGUGUGGGCGGGGCUUGGUGAGCAGGCGGCCGGGGUCAGCAGCAGGGCCAGGACAGUGAUCGACAGCAGCAGUGCUGGCAGAGCCGGCAUCUUCCACUGCUCCUCAUGGAGAACGCUCUGCAGGCCGCCUGGCCGCCACCUGCAGGACGGGAGGACUCAUUACACCCUGCAGGACGGGAGGACUCAUUACACCCUGCAGGACGGGAGGACUCAUUACACCCUGCAGGACGGGAGGACUCAUUACACCCUGCAGGUCGGGAGGACUCAUUACACCCUGCAGGACGGGAGGACUCAUUACACCCUGCAGGACGGGAGGACUCAUUACACCCUGCAGGACGGGAGGACUCAUUACAC
ensembl:lncRNA